AGAAGGGGCACCUGCCGAUGGCGAGUGCUGCCCAAUCAAUGUGAAGAAUGAGCUGGGAUUGUGGGUGGCUGUGCUCCCUGCUUCCAGCCGGGGAAUGUGGCAGGCCAGAGUAGCGCUCAUGAGAGAGGCCAUUGUCCUGCAGCCACCGAGGCCAGUUAAGGCAUGUGGCCUGUAUGAGCACAUGCACUCACCUGGAAAGUCCGCCUCACUCCACGCCUUUCCAAGACAUUCACAGAUGCGUGCUAAUAUUAAUACCCUGCGGCUCUCUCGUGGCUUUGUUCCUCCACAUGUCGGCCAGACGCACCUGCAGGGGAUGACAUUCCAGAAACUGCGCCAACCGCUCGCGGUCAGUAAUGACUGGUGAUCCUGAUGGCAGGAUGAAAACCAGCGUGAGAACUACGUAACUCCACGGGAGUGUGGCUACCACAUGACUGUCCCGGGCCGCUGACUGUUUAUGGACGAGCAGUGGAUAUGCCGCAGGGAGAUUUCUAGCCAAUAUUGACUACAAUCUGGAGAAACUAGCGCACAAAGUGGUCGUGUCCACAUCACUGAGGGUUGGCUGGGCCCCAGGUGGUGGGAGGGUGAAUUUACUUAGAGUGGCUCAAACACAAGGGAUCGGCUUUCCCGAGUAGAUGGAUUUCCAACACAACACAUAUUUCUACUGUUGAAGGGACAAGUCCAUAAAAGAUGUGGGGCCACCACCCAUUACAAAUACAAAGUACAAAUGAGGAUGAGAAUCCUGAAGCUUUCCAGGACUAAAGGCCUGAGGUGUGAAGACCGCAGGGCUAUGGAAAUGGCGUGGAGUUUUACUAUGGAUUUCACUCUUCAGUGUAUAAAGCUGAAAUCUACAGCAAUGUCUGCAUGUAACAUAUGAAUCAAUGCAGACUCCGCCAUGAUUUACCGUACCCUGUUGGUCCCAGAAAGGUCGGUGAACUCCAAGCUGAUGGUCCUAUCCUACAUGGAUAUACUGUAACAAGCACUCAGUAUGAUUAAGACUUGUUCAGAAUGCGUUUUCAGACUCUAGAUUUUCUCCAUCAGCAGAAGAGCAAAGUAAUUGCUGACUUCAUAUAAUACUGGAUCGUUCCUAUACCCCCCACAUAGCUGCCACCAGUAGCGGGGAGGCCAGCGCCACAUUACAUAGGAAACUUAAACCCAAAGUCAGAUGAUAAAUGUGUGAGGUACCAGCCCCAUCAGUUUCAGGAUGUCAGAGCUUCUCCUUCAGGUCAUUUAGAAAGAAGCACAUGACAAAUCUCCUGGAGCCUCAGAUCUGAGGAUAUUCAUGACAGGAUCUACGGAGGACGCGCAGUCACCUGCAUGUGACCAAACCGUGAUAUAUGGAAAGUGAUCUGGUCCUAGGCGGCUCAUGUGAAAUCUGGAGACGUCUCACCUAAUGUACAACAGAGAUGCCAAAUACAUAGUCAGGAGAUCUUGUGUGUGCCCAGCAGUCAGGCAGUAAACCAUCGCCGGCAGCUACCAAAUUCUUCUUCGUUAUUAAAAUUAGUUAACAGAGAAGAAAAACCCGAAUGAACCCUAAUGGUGUCCAAUGGAUGGCGGUUCUAUAUUAUACACCCACGCAAUAGAACUUUCCUCUGCACUUCCAACCAAUGGAAAUCUGUGAUUUGAGUGUAACCCAUAGCAACAAAGUAGACGGCUCUACAGGAUGUGCUGCAUACCGAGGUGACAGGAGGCAGUCCGUCAUUUCGCAAAAUGCCCAACAAAAGAGGAAGCAGCAAUUCUACUUUACUGUAAUAAACCAAAAAAGGGUCAUUUCUGUUAUUAGAUCAGCUACAUUACAGCCAUCUGCCGCACAUUUACUGCACUUUAGAACUUCAAUAAAACUUGGUAUUUGUGCCUCGUGCCGAUUGCCCCGCUGCCAAGACUCUCAAGAUGGCAGAUGUUUCCCCCUGACCUUUCACCCCAGCCUUAUUCCAGAGUUCAGGGAUUGCAGCCAUUGUGUGUGCAGCCAUCUGUCGCCUCCUCAAUGACAAUGGAGCCAGAACAAGGGGAGAAGCCCCAGGCCGGGCCUCAGGGCAGCGUGGGAAACUGACGUAACACUGCAAGCAGAAAAUGUCAUUAAGGUUCGGGCUCGCUUGUCAGUGGUGUCGACAUGCUGCGACUGCAUCAGUUGCAAAAAAAUCAGCCCUGAUAGAUUUCACAUCAAGUUUUUGUGACUUUUGUGAGUUUAGUGGGAGAAAUCUCCAUCGACUGGAGGAUCGAUAGAAGCGCCAUUUAUCAGGCCAUGGCCAUAUUGUACACAUUUGGCCGUCUUCAGUGGUAGCUGCAGAUUUGUGGCCAUAUUUUUCCCGGCAUAGUCUCUGCCGCCUCUAGAAUAAUAUUAUUAUUUUUUUAACAAUAAUUUUUAUCAUAAUUACAUCAACGGUGAACAUAGUCUGUGGACGCAGCCAUGCGUAAAGGCACAUAACGUAAAUAACAUUCAAUUAACAUACAAUUAUUCGAUUUCACAUUCCGUUAUGUGAGAGUAUCAGGGCAUCCACUUGGAUGCUGCAACCUGGUACUUCUGUUUUCAAUGAUGAUUAUAAAAAGGUUGCUGCGCAUGGGUAAACAACAGACAAUGGGGAGACAACAAUAACAUUAGCAAAAAAGGGGGGGGGGGUGAAAUCCCUGGUACACUUGAGUUUGGGUCAAAUGUCGGAUGUAACAGAGGAUAAGGCCAGGAAGGCCCUGAUCAGGGAGUAUGCGACCUAUCUUAGACUAUGCUCACCGGCAACGGCAGAGCGUAUGUACUGAACAACCACCCAAGCCACCUGUUAUGCAUAGUUAUUCUGUUAUACAUUGUUGGAGCAAAGACCAGCUCGCAGUGCAUGUGGAAAUUAACCAGCUGAAUCACCUCGGUAAUGGAAGGAGUUAGCGCCAAUUUGCAUUGGCGUGCUAUUACCUUUUUGGCGGCAUUGAGGAUGUGGGCUACAAUACAUCUAGCUUAGUGUGGGAUCUCAUUCAAUCCAAUUCCUAAUAUAGCCAACUCCGCUUCCAGCACCAACUGACAGAUCUGUCAUUUCUCGCAUCAAUUUAGAUAAGUCCAUCCAAAAACCGCCAACUGACGGGCAGUGCCACCACAUGCGUGUCGGAGUACCGAUGUUACCACAUACUCCAACAUAGAGGUGAGUAGCCAGGAAUAAUGUGGGACAGCCUAUUUGGGGUUAAAUACCAUCUAAGUUGGAUUUUCCUACUUUGCUCCGUGUGAUUGAUACACCUGGAGCAUUUCACAGACCAGUGUAAAGCUGCUGUCCAAGAGGAUAGAGAGAAUUCUUUCCCCAGUUCAGCUUCCCAUUUUGACAUAAAAGGCUGUUUACCCCCCCUCUUCCUUUAAGGGUAGCGCCCUCUUUAAGUAAUUUGUCUAAUGGGUCAUUCAUAUCUAGAGUAGGUUGUGGUGGCACUGUGAGGAGCAGAUGACGGAUCUGCAGGUACUGAUAGAAAAGUGAAUUUGGCAAAUCAAAGUUAGAUUUUGAGACAUUACAUUCUACAAGAGUUGUCACAUAGACAUCCCAGGGUGCCUAUUCCACAAUCCAACCACUUGGAGAGGUUGAGCAUAGGAAUAUGAUACUCAAGAACUGUGAUUGGGAAU